GAUGAACGCUGGCGGCGUGCUUAACACAUGCAAGUCGAACGGAAAGGCUCCUGCUUGCAGGGGUACUCGAGUGGCGAACGGGUGAGUAACACGUGGGUGAUCUGCCCUGCACUUCGGGAUAAGCCUGGGAAACUGGGUCUAAUACCGGAUAGGACGAUGGUUUGGAUGCCAUUGUGGAAAGUUUUUCGGUGUGGGAUGAGCUCGCGGCCUAUCAGCUUGUUGGUGGGGUAAUGGCCUACCAAGGCGUCGACGGGUAGCCGGCCUGAGAGGGUGUACGGCCACAUUGGGACUGAGAUACGGCCCAGACUCCUACGGGAGGCAGCAGUGGGGAAUAUUGCACAAUGGGCGCAAGCCUGAUGCAGCGACGCCGCGUGGGGGAUGACGGCCUUCGGGUUGUAAACUCCCUUCGCUAGGGACGAAGCGCAAGUGACGGUACCUGGAGAAGAAGCACCGGCUAACUACGUGCCAGCAGCCGCGGUAAUACGUAGGGUGCGAGCGUUGUCCGGGAUUACUGGGCGUAAAGAGCUCGUAGGUGGUUUGUCGCGUCGUUUGUGUAAGCCCGCAGCUUAACUGCGGGACUGCAGGCGAUACGGGCAUAACUUGAGUGCUGUAGGGGAGACUGGAAUUCCUGGUGUAGCGGUGGAAUGCGCAGAUAUCAGGAGGAACACCGAUGGCGAAGGCAGGUCUCUGGGCAGUAACUGACGCUGAGGAGCGAAAGCAUGGGUAGCGAACAGGAUUAGAUACCCUGGUAGUCCAUGCCGUAAACGGUGGGCGCUAGGUGUGAGUCCCUUCCACGGGGUUCGUGCCGUAGCUAACGCAUUAAGCGCCCCGCCUGGGGAGUACGGCCGCAAGGCUAAAACUCAAAGGAAUUGACGGGGGCCCGCACAAGCGGCGGAGCAUGUGGAUUAAUUCGAUGCAACGCGAAGAACCUUACCUGGGCUUGACAUACACCAGACCGGGCCAGAGAUGGUCUUUCCCUUUGUGGUUGGUGUACAGGUGGUGCAUGGUUGUCGUCAGCUCGUGUCGUGAGAUGUUGGGUUAAGUCCCGCAACGAGCGCAACCCUUGUCUUAUGUUGCCAGCACGUUAUGGUGGGGACUCGUGAGAGACUGCCGGGGUUAACUCGGAGGAAGGUGGGGAUGACGUCAAAUCAUCAUGCCCCUUAUGUCCAGGGCUUCACACAUGCUACAAUGGUCGGUACAACGCGUCUGCGAGCCUGUGAGGGUGAGCUAAUCGCUGUAAAGCCGGUCGUAGUUCGGAUUGGGGUCUGCAACUCGACCCCAUGAAGUCGGAGUCGCUAGUAAUCGCAGAUCAGCAACGCUGCGGUGAAUACGUUCCCGGGCCU
rnacentral:rRNA from 1 species